rnacentral:rRNA from 1 species
AUACGGAGGAUCCGAGCGUUAUCCGGAUUUAUUGGGUUUAAAGGGUGCGCAGGCGGGAGAUUAAGUCGGCGGUGAAAUUUUGCAGCUCAACUGUAAAAGUGCCUUCGAAACUGGUUUCCUUGAGUGUGGAUGAAGUAGGCGGAAUUUGUGGUGUAGCGGUGAAAUGCAUAGAUAUCACGAGGAACUCCGAUUGCGCAGGCAGCUUACUAAACCAUAACUGACGCUCAGGCACGAAGGCGUGGGGAUCAAACAGGAUUAGAUACCCUGGUAGUCCACGCAGUAAACGAUGAUUACUAGCUGUUUGCGAUACAAUGUAAGCGGCUGAGCGAAAGCGUUAAGUAAUCCACCUGGGGAGUACGUUCGCAAGAAUGAA